CAUCGUCAUCCACGUGUGGCAACAAUGAACCGCAGUCUCGUAAUCAUCGUCGCCGUCGCCAUCGUCCACGUUGCCGAUGUGUAUGCGUUCAAAUAUGACCCCUCGCACUUGCCAUAUCCCUGUGACCCGGAAUAUGGCGAGCACUGCAUGCCUGAAUCACAGAAAGAUAACUGUAUCAACGUUCUUCUCCCAGAAUGGGCGUUUUGUGAAGACCCGCAACAAUUCUGUUGUAAGGACUUUCUAAGCACACACCACAGACUCCUGUAGCCGACCAAUCCAUGAAAGAGUUGUGAAAUCCACACAAAUACAUGAUGUUAAUACACUAGUGCCGUCAAACUGUAUAACUGUUCUCACUGUAACCCUUGUUAAGGAUAAAGGAAUGUUCUAUUUGGAAAUGAAUGUAGAUCCAUCCUUUGUCGAUCAGCUAUUGAAACAAUUUGUGGUCAUUGAAAAUCGUCUCAUAUUUCUCUAUUGCAUUCUGAACGUAAAGCAUGCAAGUGAAAGAUAUAACAAAGA